rnacentral:ncRNA from 1 species
GCGCGAGGACGACCUCGUGCCGAACCGGCUUGUCACCCGGUGGAGACGACUCCG